GUAGGUGGCAAGCGUUGUCCGGAAUUAUUGGGCGUAAAGCGCGCGCAGGCGGUUCUUUAAGUCUGAUGUGAAAGCCCACGGCUCAACCGUGGAGGGUCAUUGGAAACUGGAGAACUUGAGUACAGAAGAGGAAAGCGGAAUUCCACGUGUGGCGGUGAAAUGCGUAGAGAUGUGGAGGAACACCAGUGGCGAAGGCGGCUUUCUGGUCUGUAACUGACGCUGAGGCGCGAAAGCGUGGGGAGCAAACAGGAUUAGAUACCCUGGUAGUCCACGCCGUAAACGAUGAGUGCUAAGUGUUAGGGGGUUUCCGCCCCCCUUAGUGCUGCAGCUAACGCAUUAAGCACUCCGCCUGGGAGUACGGCCGCAAGGCUG
rnacentral:rRNA from 1 species